CAAGUGACAUUGGCUGCCUUACAUGUAAUAUAGAAAUUAGGAUAUGCUCAUAAAUUACAAAAGACAGCAUAACUAAGCAUUCCUCAGUUGUAGCAACUGAUGUAUAUGGCAUACAAGAUGAGAUAAGCACUUGCAGCACCACUUAUUUGUAAAUACUAAAAUAGAUCCAUUUUAAGUCAUUUGUUUGGAUGGAUAGGAGAUGGGGGCUUGUAGGGUGGCUUGUAGGGGGUUGGGGGCUUCUCGUAAGG
rnacentral:misc_RNA from 1 species